rnacentral:tRNA from 1 species
UCCCUGGUGGCUCAGAUGGUAAAGAAUCUGCCUGCAAUGCGGGAGACCCAGGUUCAAUUCCUGGGUGAGGAA